GUGCCAGCCGCCGCGGUAAUACGGAGGGUGCGAGCGUUGUUCGGAAUCAUUGGGCGUAAAGCGCGCGCAGGCGGUCGGGGAAGUCUAUGGGUGAAAUGCCGGAGCUCAACUCCGCGCGUGCCCAGGAUACUCCCCGGCUGGAGACAGGUAGAGGCGAGCGGAAUUCCGGGUGUAGCGGUGGAAUGCGUAGAUAUCCGGAAGAACACCAGAGGCGAAGGCGGCUCGCUGGGCCUGAUCUGACGCUGAGGCGCGAAAGCGUGGGGAGCGAACAGGAUUAGAUACCCUUGUAGUCC
rnacentral:rRNA from 1 species